CGCUCUCAUCCUCUCCUUUCUCUCUUCCCCCUCCAGCCUCCACUCCUUCGCCCGCUCACUCACCCUCUCCCUCUCCCGCUGCCCCCCCUUUCUCCCCCACCUCUUUGUUUCAGCUGAGAACCAGCUCCUCGGGACAGUUCCCACACUGCAGUGCCUCUGGUGAGGAGACAGCGCCACUGAGGCCUCCUCUGAACUCUCAAAAUGUGACCUAUGCCAUCACCGAGGCCGCAGGAACAAGAGGUGGGUGUCCAUGACAUUGGUACCUGUCAUUCCUGUGUGCAGCAGGUGUGCCCCACCCUGGAGGCGGCAGAAAAAGGCUUUCACAUCCCUGGCACAUGUGGGCCUGGCUCCACCAACCCAAGGCUGCCUGGGGAAGAAGUGACUCAUACCUGCGCAGGGUAGGCGGCCUGAGCCAGCCCCCCACCCUUGAGCUGGGACAGGGCCUUCCGAAUGGUGUUCAACUCCUGGAUGGUGGCUCCACGGGCUGCCAGCAGUCUGGUGAGUGUCUGCUUCUCCUCCAGUGUGACAGGUGGGAUGGGGGCAGGCAGCAGAGCUGACCCCCCACCUGCAGAGACAAUGAGGGUAUCAGGCAGAGGGACUAUCCCAAAGCAGGGAACCAGGCAAGCAGGGUGACAAGUCCACAUUAGAAAAGGGGGGUUGGAAAGGUGGGAUUAGGGUGCCCCCGUGUGGAUAUGCAAUAUGUAUACAGUCACCACAUCCUGGCCACUGGAGGUUGUCCCCUGCCUUGGGGUACCCCAGGUCCCAGGAGGCACUGGAAGAACUAACUACUUAAGAGACUAGAACAGAAGGCAGGGUAGGGGGCACACAAUGGAAGAUUAAGGAGAAGACUCCUUGAGGUCUGAGAGCCUAGCUCCAGGUGACAUCAGUACAGACAACAGCAACAGCAGUGACAUUUUCCAAGGACUCUAUGGAUGUGCCAGGCCCUGCAUUAGGUGCUCCCCGUGCACCCUCUCACUGACACCCAAAAGGUCAGGUCAGGGGGAGGACUCCACAGCUCAGGGGAGGCCAGACGACUAGUCCAAGGCAACCCAAGAGUCACCAUCCAGGCUCCUCACCAUCUCCCUUGCUCCUAACUUCACGCUGUGACCCUGG